UGUUCCCGGAUGCCGUGUUCCAGGAAGAAGAUUCCCUUCCCGCAGCGAGGACGCGGGUACCCCUCACCCAGCUCGACGGCGUACUUCUCCUCCAAGGCGGUGGGCUACCAUCUCUGCAGACAGAAGCUUGCUAGAUGUUCUCCGGUCAUGCAGCCAUUCAGGGGAAGCAAAACGGUGGAGACUGGAGACUGACGUCAUCAACAUCGGUAUGAAAGCUUACAUAUAUUGGUGAAGGGAUAUAUGGUACAAGUCUCGGAAUGUGGUGAAGCACUUCUUAUGCAUCAUAACAUGUUGUUUCAAAGAGAUUUGAUGUGGUACGUAUUAGAACGCCAUUUUGAUACUCUUAAGCUCAGUCAUCCCGUUUUAAAUCAUAUUCUUGCAUUAAAAUACACAUUACCCUUCCAUGUUGUAAUUAGAUGAAUUCGGCCCCUUCGCUUUUUUUUUUCUUUGAACUUAAUUUUUCGUAUGCAUGAUUUCUGCUCAUUUUACCGGUAGAUUUGUUAAUUAAUGGUACACAUAUAUGUUGUUGCAUCUGUUGUGUUUCCUCCUUGCUUACUUCUGAUUUUAUAUAGAAACUUGACAUGGUCAAUUAUUGUUAUAAAUACAAUUUCUGAAUGUGAUGGGAAGAUCCAUCAAAGUAACAUGUACCAUUUUCCUGUUUCUUCAUUGUGUGCCUACCUAGGCUCACACUAUAUGCAAUCUUGAAUCAAGAUUCAGUAUCAUGUGCCACCUUCACCUACUUAGAAAAUAAUAGCAGGUGGUAGACAACGU